rnacentral:rRNA from 1 species
UACGAAGGGGGCUAGCGUUGCUCGGAAUCACUGGGCGUAAAGGGUGCGUAGGCGGGUCUUUAAGUCAGGGGUGAAAUCCUGGAGCUCAACUCCAGAACUGCCUUUGAUACUGGCAGUCUGGAGGGAGGUAGGGGUGUGCGGAACUUCCAGUGGAGCGGUGAAAUGCGUUGAUAUUGGAAGGAACGCCGGAGGCGAAAGCGGCGCACUGGACCUCUUCUGACGCUGAGGCGCGAAAGCUAGGGGAGCAAACGGG